UUUUUUAAUUUCUCCUCCUGUAAUCACCAAACACUCUUCAAACGGGUAUAACUGACAGAGCAAUGCCCCAUUGAUUACCUUCUUGGUUUGAGACCAACAAUAAUGGCUGACAGCAACUUUGAACCGCAUAUUUGAAGCUAUCUCGUUCAUUUAACGGUGUGGACGAGCUGUCAAAAUGGGCGAAAAUUGUUUUCUUCCUGGGCAACAAGGUUGAAAAAAUUAAGAGAACUUACAAGAUAUGCUACUUUAGUACAUGCUUUAUUGUUUGUGCACCUUUUCGAGGUGUUGGUCUCGUCAAACUCAAUAAUAUCUUGUUUACAGUAAAAAAACAUUCGGUGAAAAAGUCAAGUAAAAAUAAUAGGCAGAAUACAUCAGCAGCCCCUACACUUAGCCAUUUUUUAACUAGUAGUAGUAGUAUCUAUUGGGCACUUUAAGUGACGAUAAAUUGUGUCAAUUAGACACAUAUUUUGCAGCUCCAAAUAAACUAAAGCGUGUGUAUUUCACUUGCAAGUAAGACCAAUAAGAAAAAAACAGUUACUAAAGAAAAAAGCCAAAACUGAAGGGCCCUUGGAGAUGAAGACUGGUCACUUUCUCCACCCACCAUUAAUUCGCCGUCGAUGAACCCCGCCGGUACUGUUGGAUUGCAGCCGAGACUUGAAAGCUCAUAACUCAACAACUCUUGCUGAUUGUCACCACUAUCUUUUCAGCUACCAUCCAUUGCAAAUUUCAGCAAGCACCAACGGAUUUGCCCUCUCCUCUAUAUCAUCAACGGGUUGCUGCUCUAUUUGUUGUUUGAAAAGGCUUUCCCCAAAUAUAUUACCUCCAUCAGUACCGCUUAUAAUUGUCCUCCGUCAGCGACUAUUGAUGCCCGUUAGGUCCUCAGGUAGAAAGUGAUUGGCAUGGUGGCGGAGGAAGCAUGGUGGUGGUGAAGCACCUGUAAUAGUAGUGAAGAUGGUGGUGGCACAAUGGAAGAAGAAGAAAAUUGAAGAAAAAAGAAUCUGCUUCUUCUCACGCGCUCAACACAAGUGGUGUAUUACACACACUGUCAUGUCAUGUCAGAUGUGUCUAUUUAAUUGAUACAAUUUGUAUCCACUUAAAGUGUUUAGUAGGUACGUACCUUAGUUUAGGCGUACAAUUAAAAUAAAUGGCCAAGUUCGGGGGGCCGCCUAUAUAUUCUGCCAAAAUAAUAAUAUAGCAUUUUCGACCUAGAGUCAUCUUAAUUCUUUAAAAUAUCAAUUUAGUGAUUCCAUUUAAUGUUAAUUGUUCAUUUUGUGAAUAGGGUAUUUGAAUAAAAUUCAAAUAUUUCAGUGGUAA